ACUCCACCAGCCGGCCCGCGUGGCGGUUCCUCUGUUCCUGAGAUUGUCUGUAGGGUGGAAAACAGCUCUGGAGGGGGCUGUAGAAAUUACUUUCUCAAGUCUUUGGGCCGGAAGGAAGGAACAGUGCCUGGCCGAGGACUUUGGGCAGGAGAGAGAUGGGGCAGAGAGCAGCCAAGGCCUACUAUUUUCACUUCUACUAAUUAGAUCAAAGCCCUGCCCAGAGCUUUUGCGCACCUUCGAGUCCCAUUCCUCCCCUAAACCAUCCAGGUUCCAUCUGCCUUGAAGCCAAAGGGUCUUCUUAGCUUCCUCAAGAAAAAUUCAGGCCUGAGUUUCUCCACCAGCACCCUCCUCUCCCCGACAGAGUGGGUGGGCUGUAUUUCUCUUCAUAUUCUGUUUCAUUCCAGACUGUCUUGGACAACCAGCUUGUCCUCCACCCCUCGGGACCUCCCCUCCUACUCUGCCCCCCUUGACCACUCAGGCCCCAAGCUGAGGAGAGGAGCAGAGGAGUGAAAGAGAGGAGGUGAAAAGCAAUGUCCUUUCCGCCUUUUAACCUGGGCCCCACUGGGAACUUGCAGGAAGUGGACGCUGAUAGGCUGAAGCUGAUCUCACCAAUCUCUACCACCCUCCCCAACCCCAAAUCAUUCCUUUGAAAUAGUGAAAGACCCUUUUAAAAAUGUAACAUGAAUUGGCUAUUUCUUGAGGCAAACAAAAGGUAGCCCGGAAGCAAUCGCCUUUGUACCGGUAUAAAUUCAUUAGAACAGAGAGCUUAUCACCA